UACGUAGGGAGCAAGCGUUGUCCGGAAUCAUUGGGCGUAAAGCGCGCGUAGGUGGCUCUAUAAGUCCGUUGUGAAAGUCAAAGGCUCAACCUUUGAAAGCCGAUGGAUACUGUAGAGCUAGAGUGCAGAAGGGGCAACUGGAAUUCUCGGUGUAGCGGUGAAAUGCGUAGAUAUCGAGAGGAACACCUGCGGCGAAGGCGGGUUGCUGGGCUGACACUGACGCUGAAGCGCGAAAGCUAGGGGAGCGAACGGG
rnacentral:rRNA from 1 species